rnacentral:tRNA from 1 species
UUAUCGACUCUGUAGUGAAGUUCAUGUUGAGUUGCAAGCUCAUCGAUGUACACUGUAAGUGUGCCGGGGUCU